UCCAGUAAUGUGUCUGAGUGUAUAACAGAGCUCCCCAGCAAUAAUACUCCCAGUAAUGUGUCUGAGUGUAUAACAGAGCUCCACAGCAAUAAUACUCCCAGUAAUGUGUCUGAGUGUAUAAUAGAGCUCCACAGCAAUAAUACUCCCAGUAAUGUGUCUGAGUGUAUAACAGAGCUCCACAGCAAUAAUACUCCCAGUAAUGUGUCUGGGUGUAUAACAGAGUUCCACAGCAAUAAUACUCCCAGUAAUGUGUCUGGGUGUAUAACAGAGCUCCACAGCAAUAAUACUCCCAGUAAUGUUUCUGGGUGUAUAACAGAGCUCCACAGCAAUAAUACUCCCAGUAAUGUGUCUGAGUGUAUAACAGAGCUCCACAGUAAUAAUACUCCCAGUAAUGUGACUGAGUGUAUAACAGAGCCCCACAGCAAUAAUACUCCCAGUAAUGUGUCUGAGUGUAUAACAGAGCUCCACAGCAAAAAUACUCCCAGUAAUAUAUCUGAGUGUAUAACAGAGCUCCACAGCAAUAAUACUCCCAGUAAUGUGACUGAGUGUAUAACAGAGCUCCACAGCAAUAAUACUCCCAGUAAUGUAUCUGAGUGUAUAACAGAGCUCCACAGAAAUAAUACUCCCAGUAAUGUGACUGAGUAUAUAACAGAGCUCCACAGCAAUAAUACUCCCAGUAAUGUAUCUGAGUGUAUAACAGAGCUCCACAGCAAUAAUACUCCCAGUAAUGUGUCUGAGUGUAUAACAGAGCUCCACAGCAAUAAUACUCCCAGUAAUGUGUCUGAGUGUAUAACGGAGCCCCACAGCAAUAAUACUCCCAGUAAUGUGUCUGAGUGUAUAACGGAGCCCCGCAGCAAUAAUACUCCCAGUAAUGUGUCUGAGUGUAUAACAGAGCUCCACAGCAAUAAUACUCCUAGUAACAGAGCUCCACAGUAAUAAUACUCCCAGUAAUGUGUCUGAGUGUAUAACAGAGCUCCACAGCAAUAAUACUCCCAGUAAUGUGUCUGAGUGUAUAACAGAGCUCUACAGCAAUAAUACUCCCAGUAAGGUGUCUGAGUGUAUAACAGAGCUCCGCAGCAAUAAUACUCCCAGUAAUGUGUCUG